CCUUGGUUACGUCUGUACACGAACUACCUUCUUCAGCGAAUGAAGCUGGAAAAACAAACCUGCAUAAGAUAUAUAACAAGAGAUGAGUGGGAGGGACCUGCGUGCCUUUUUGUCGACUCACCGUGCCGAGAACGUAGGGGUCGCCACAGCGGAUCAUCCGUCUCCAUACCACCCUGUCCUCUACAUCUGCCUCUUUC